UAUUUAUCUCAUCACAGCAGAAUGUUAUGCCAUUAGGGGUUCUAACAGAUAUUCUAGAACCCAAUUAUAAGGCAGUGAACGGGAAUGUUCAAGCUGAGGAUGUCUAGACAUUGCUUGUUCCCAAACAAGAGGAUUAAUGGUUUAAAUUAUGCAUUUGCAUACUGCUCUCCAAUAUUCUUGCAUCUCCUGAACUCAAGAGAAGUAGAAGUGAUUUCCAUACAGUUUGUGUCUAUAACGUUCUAUUCAAUUGAAAAACAAACAACAGAUUUAUUUGAAAUUUAUAAGUGCUUUUCUCAAGUCAAAAAUUCUCACAAUGCUUCAAUCAGUCCCACUGAUGAAGUUCCAACUUUUAAACCACACAGAUGCCAAGGUCAGUUUUCUUACAGUGGCUCACCUGCAACUCUGGAUCCCUACCACACAAUUCAGUUCUGGGUUCUGCAUUUAAUCAUCGCCCUGGAAGGCACUAGCCUCUAUGAAGGGAGUAGCAAUAGUUUAGACUGGAGAAAUUACAGGAAAGGUAGAAAUCUUAAGAGCUAGGAAGGAAUCUUGGCUGGAAACAUUUGAGGAACAACUGAAUGAAAUCUCGACUCUUCGCGAGAGGCUAUAUUUGACAUGUUUGUACACUAAUAGCAACCCACCCCCCACGUAUAUAGAUUUCACUUACAGAUGGUUGAAAAGUAAUUUUCUAUGAUCCUAUGAUACUUUAUGUAAUUAUCUGUAAUUAAAUUAACACAAGGUAAAAAUAGUCGACUUAAAAUAAUAGAAAGUAUUCAAAAACAAUUACGAGGCUGAGCAACAUUGUUUUUCAUAAGAGAAAGUGUCAUAUGCAACAGAGUGGCAAAAACAGAAUGGGGUGAGCUGUGGUUAAGUGUAAAUCCUAUAGCAAUGAAAGUCAUUUGUAUUAUCCUUACUUCUUUGAAUAAAUUCAGAUGACAGCUCUAUUUCAUUUCUUCAUUCAGUUUGGAGGCCAGAUGGCAUUAGAAUCAUUUACUUCACCUUGUUGUGCUUAAUUACUACAAUCAACACACUAUUUUCCAAAUUAAUCAUAACAAAGUAAUUUCAUUAGUAACACAGCAGGCUGUUGAAUUAUUAGCAUCAUAACAGUUUGCAAACAAUUAAACUUUAUUUGAACCUUAAAAAUUUGCAGAGUGGAACAUUAUUGUAAGAUCUAAUGGCAAUAGAGUACAAAUUCAGUACAGAGCAAAUAAUCAAGCAAAAUGCUAUAUAAAAUAUGACUUACAAUCACCUUUGGAAAAAAUUAGCUCUCUAACUGUUCAUAGAAAAACAAAUAAAAGCUAAGCAAACAUAAUGAGAACAUAGCAAUUAGCAUAUUUUCUAACAAGCCAUGUUGUUUAAAUGCACAUUAAUGAUAUUAUUAUGAUCUUGAAGAGAGUGUGAUAUAUUGUCAAGGGUGUAAAGAAAACUUUUUCCCUGGUAGUACAAAUGAUUUCACCAAAUGAAUAUAAAGUAGUCAUGAGCUGAAAGUAAUGAUUAUUUUUCCUGUCACUCUAAUUUUCAAUCUUUUGUCUCCUUUCUUAUCUCCCACCUAUAUUCAAGUUAAACAAGAACAAAGGCCAGAGGAGCUCUGGACAGAAGUUAACACUUUAUUUCUGUAUUGUCACCAUUCACAGCGACUAUCUGGCUUGGAAUUGCUGGUCAUCAGUUGGCAAAGGACUCCCUCUCCUGGAUUAACUGUAAAAGGAGGCAAAAAUCUUUUACAUGCUUUACAUUCUGUUCCAGUGUGUGCCCGGGUGGGGGAGGGGUGGCCCAGUGGUUUAGUAUGCAAUGAAAAGCUGCUGCCACCUACUGGCCCAGCACUAAAAUCUUCACUUCAACCAGAAGCAUGAAACCUGCAUCCACAACCAGGACUACAUUUUCAGGGGAAACCACAACUCGUUUUGCUUUUCCAACUCUGUUUGAAAAACAGACCACUAAAUUUAUCUCCCAUUGGCUCACUUUUGCCGAGAUGAUUUCAAUCUACUCCCUUGGCUCUCUAUUAGGAAAAGAUUCACAAGUGCACAAAUUAAUUUCUGAAAGCUCUGGUUCAACAAUGUCUAAUUUAUAUAAACUAGAGUUUACCCACAAUCCCUAAAACUAAAAAAUAUAUUUCAUUACGUUUGAGUUCUGGUGAUCACAGUAUCAAGAAGAUAAUGGUAAAAUGUAAGUUCUGAGAUAUUGUUUAUAAAUAGUUUUAUAUAAAUAAAGGGGGUUAAAUAUUA